AAUAGAUACCCUGGUAGUCCACGCCCUAAACGAUGGAUGCUAGGUUUGCGGGGUAUCGACCCCCUGUGAGCCGUAGGUAACCCGUUAAGCAUCCCGCCUGGGGACUACGACCGCAAGGUUAAAACUCAAAGGAAUUGACGGGGGCCCGCACAAGCAGCGGAGCGUGUGGUUUAAUUCGAUGCUAAGCGAAGAACCUUACCAGGGCUUGACAUGUAAGUGGUACUGAACCGAAAGGCAAGGGACCCGCAAGGGAGCUUACACAGGUGCUGCAUGGUUGUCGUCAGCUCGUGCCGUGAGGUGUUGGGUUAAGUCCCGCAACGAGCGCAACCCUUGUCGCUAGUUAAAUUCUCUAGCGAGACUGCCCCUAAAAGGGAGGAAGGAGGGGAUGAUGUCAAAUCAUCAUGGCUCUUACGUCCUGGGGCUACACACACGCUACAAUGGCCAGUACAGACGGUUGCUAAAUCGCGAGAUGGAGCCAAUCCGACAAAGCUGGUCUCAGUUGGGAUUGCAGGCUGAAACCCGCCUGCAUGAACGUGG
rnacentral:rRNA from 1 species